ACUAAGCGUACACGGUGGAUGCCCUGGCAGUCAGAGGCGAUGAAGGACGUGCUAAUCUGCGAUAAGCGUCGGUAAGGUGAUAUGAACCGUUAUAACCGGCGAUUUCCGAAUGGGGAAACCCAGUGUGUUUCGACACACUAUCAUUAACUGAAUCCAUAGGUUAAUGAGGCGAACCGGGGGAACUGAAACAUCUAAGUACCCCGAGGAAAAGAAAUCAACCGAGAUUCCCCCAGUAGCGGCGAGCGAACGGGGAGCAGCCCAGAGCCUGAAUCAGUGUGUGUGUUAGUGGAAGCGUCUGGAAAGGCGCGCGAUACAGGGUGACAGCCCCGUACACAAAAAUGCACAUGCUGUGAGCUCGAUGAGUAGGGCGGGACACGUGGUAUCCUGUCUGAAUAUGGGGGGACCAUCCUCCAAGGCUAAAUACUCCUGACUGACCGAUAGUGAACCAGUACCGUGAGGGAAAGGCGAAAAGAACCCCGGCGAGGGGAGUGAAAAAGAACCUGAAACCGUGUACGUACAAGCAGUGGGAGCACGCUUAGGCGUGUGACUGCGUACCUUUUGUAUAAUGGGUCAGCGACUUAUAUUCUGUAGCAAGGUUAACCGAAUAGGGGAGCCGAAGGGAAACCGAGUCUUAACUGGGCGUUAAGUUGCAGGGUAUAGACCCGAAACCCGGUGAUCUAGCCAUGGGCAGGUUGAAGGUUGGGUAACACUAACUGGAGGACCGAACCGACUAAUGUUGAAAAAUUAGCGGAUGACUUGUGGCUGGGGGUGAAAGGCCAAUCAAACCGGGAGAUAGCUGGUUCUCCCCGAAAGCUAUUUAGGUAGCGCCUCGUGAAUUCAUCUCCGGGGGUAGAGCACUGUUUCGGCAAGGGGGUCAUCCCGACUUACCAACCCGAUGCAAACUGCGAAUACCGGAGAAUGUUAUCACGGGAGACACACGGCGGGUGCUAACGUCCGUCGUGAAGAGGGAAACAACCCAGACCGCCAGCUAAGGUCCCAAAGUCAUGGUUAAGUGGGAAACGAUGUGGGAAGGCCCAGACAGCCAGGAUGUUGGCUUAGAAGCAGCCAUCAUUUAAAGAAAGCGUAAUAGCUCACUGGUCGAGUCGGCCUGCGCGGAAGAUGUAACGGGGCUAAACCAUGCACCGAAGCUGCGGCAGCGACGCUUAUGCGUUGUUGGGUAGGGGAGCGUUCUGUAAGCCUGUGAAGGUGUGCUGUGAGGCAUGCUGGAGGUAUCAGAAGUGCGAAUGCUGACAUAAGUAACGAUAAAGCGGGUGAAAAGCCCGCUCGCCGGAAGACCAAGGGUUCCUGUCCAACGUUAAUCGGGGCAGGGUGAGUCGACCCCUAAGGCGAGGCCGAAAGGCGUAGUCGAUGGGAAACAGGUUAAUAUUCCUGUACUUGGUGUUACUGCGAAGGGGGGACGGAGAAGGCUAUGUUGGCCGGGCGACGGUUGUCCCGGUUUAAGCGUGUAGGCUGGUUUUCCAGGCAAAUCCGGAAAAUCAAGGCUGAGGCGUGAUGACGAGGCACUACGGUGCUGAAGCAACAAAUGCCCUGCUUCCAGGAAAAGCCUCUAAGCAUCAGGUAACAUCAAAUCGUACCCCAAACCGACACAGGUGGUCAGGUAGAGAAUACCAAGGCGCUUGAGAGAACUCGGGUGAAGGAACUAGGCAAAAUGGUGCCGUAACUUCGGGAGAAGGCACGCUGAUAUGUAGGUGAAGUCCCUUGCGGAUGGAGCUGAAAUCAGUCGAAGAUACCAGCUGGCUGCAACUGUUUAUUAAAAACACAGCACUGUGCAAACACGAAAGUGGACGUAUACGGUGUGACGCCUGCCCGGUGCCGGAAGGUUAAUUGAUGGGGUUAGCGCAAGCGAAGCUCUUGAUCGAAGCCCCGGUAAACGGCGGCCGUAACUAUAACGGUCCUAAGGUAGCGAAAUUCCUUGUCGGGUAAGUUCCGACCUGCACGAAUGGCGUAAUGAUGGCCAGGCUGUCUCCACCCGAGACUCAGUGAAAUUGAACUCGCUGUGAAGAUGCAGUGUACCCGCGGCAAGACGGAAAGACCCCGUGAACCUUUACUAUAGCUUGACACUGAACAUUGAGCCUUGAUGUGUAGGAUAGGUGGGAGGCUUUGAAGUGUGGACGCCAGUCUGCAUGGAGCCGACCUUGAAAUACCACCCUUUAAUGUUUGAUGUUCUAACGUUGACCCGUAAUCCGGGUUGCGGACAGUGUCUGGUGGGUAGUUUGACUGGGGCGGUCUCCUCCUAAAGAGUAACGGAGGAGCACGAAGGUUGGCUAAUCCUGGUCGGACAUCAGGAGGUUAGUGCAAUGGCAUAAGCCAGCUUGACUGCGAGCGUGACGGCGCGAGCAGGUGCGAAAGCAGGUCAUAGUGAUCCGGUGGUUCUGAAUGGAAGGGCCAUCGCUCAACGGAUAAAAGGUACUCCGGGGAUAACAGGCUGAUACCGCCCAAGAGUUCAUAUCGACGGCGGUGUUUGGCACCUCGAUGUCGGCUCAUCACAUCCUGGGGCUGAAGUAGGUCCCAAGGGUAUGGCUGUUCGCCAUUUAAAGUGGUACGCGAGCUGGGUUUAGAACGUCGUGAGACAGUUCGGUCCCUAUCUGCCGUGGGCGCUGGAGAACUGAGGGGGGCUGCUCCUAGUACGAGAGGACCGGAGUGGACGCAUCACUGGUGUUCGGGUUGUCAUGCCAAUGGCACUGCCCGGUAGCUAAAUGCGGAAGAGAUAAGUGCUGAAAGCAUCUAAGCACGAAACUUGCCCCGAGAUGAGUUCUCCCUGACCCUUUAAGGGUCCUGAAGGAACGUUGAAGACGACGACGUUGAUAGGCCGGGUGUGUAAGCGCAGCGAUGCGUUGAGCUAACCGGUACUAAUGAACCGUGAGGCUUAACC
rnacentral:rRNA from 1 species